rnacentral:lncRNA from 1 species
AUGGGGACAGUUCAGGGCAAUCCGGACUUGGUUGGUCACUCUCGGAAAGUUAUUACCACAACUGUGUUCAAAGGGAACCUCUCCUUAGGUGUAGGUACUUCAGGAUUCAAAGGUGUGAGGUGUGGAAGUAGAGGGAAGCCAGAGUUGGGCAGAUGGUGGAGGCAGAGAGAGAAGGAGGGACAGGGGCUCACUCCGAUUGCAGGAGCCCCUAUGGAUGGAGAUGGCAUCCAGAGCGAUGUCCAGGUAGGGCUUGGACUCCACUCUUCCAUGGUCCCUCCACCCUCUGUUCAUCCAAGGACUGCCCUCCACACAUCACUAUGUGUUGAUGCCAUCGCCCAACCCAGAGGGCCCUUGAGGUGGCCACCCUGCCCUGGGGAAGGAGAAAGGUCUGAGUGGUGCUGGUUUCCAACUCACAGUUAUCCCUAGAGUUGCGAGCAACUGGCUUCCAUUCUGAAGGCUUCCCCUUCCUUGGGGUUGAAGAAGGAAAAAAAAAAGUAAUACGUGUCAUCAUCAAGAAUCAUAAGCCUCAUUGAUCGUGAGCUUUCUGAGUGGUCCUUCAUGAAGGAUUUCUUGGUAUUCAUAUUGCACCAAAGUGUAGGCAGCGAACAUAUAUUUACUUGUCUUCUUUAAGGUUUUCGAAAGCCCGGGCGCUUGGGUGGCUCAGUCGGUUGGGCGACUGACUUCGGCUCAAGUCAUGAUCUCACUGCUUGUGGGUUCGAGCUGCACAUCAGGCUCUGUGCUGACAGCUCAGAGCCUGGAGCCUGCUUCAGAUUCUGUGCCUUCUUCCCUCUCUAUGACCCUCCCCAACUUGUGCUCUCUCAAAAAAUAAACAUUAAAAAAAAAAAAAAGAAGGCCCCCAACCUCCUCACGUUAAAUUCUCAUCUAUCUCCUAAAAAUAAAAUAAAAUAAUGAGUGUCUCUCCUUGGAGCGCCUCACUGGUUCCCUCCGUGCCUCUGUGACCUGUGUUGGAGCCUCCCUGGAGGAGGAACCCGAUCGUGUGUAUGGCAGUUCUCAAGCAGUGCCUCGGCGUUUA